GACGAACGCUGGCGGCGUGCCUAAUACAUGCAAGUUGAGCGAUGAAGAUUGGUGCUUGCACCAAUUUGAAGAGCAGCGAACGGGUGAGUAACGCGUGGGGAAUCUGCCUUUGAGCGGGGGACAACAUUUGGAAACGAAUGCUAAUACCGCAUAACAACUUUAAACAUAAGUUUUAAGUUUGAAAGAUGCAAUUGCAUCACUCAAAGAUGAUCCCGCGUUGUAUUAGCUAGUUGGUGAGGUAAAGGCUCACCAAGGCGAUGAUACAUAGCCGACCUGAGAGGGGGAUAGGCCACAUUGGGACUGAGACACGGCCCAAACUCCUACGGGAGGCAGCAGUAGGGAAUCUUCGGCAAUGGAAGAAAGUCUGACCGAGCAACGCCGCGUGAGUGAAGAAGGUUUUCGGAUCGUAAAACUCUGUUGGUAGAGAAGAACGUUGGUGAGAGUGGAAAGCUCAUCAAGUGACGGUAACUACCCAGAAAGGGACGGCUAACUACGUG
rnacentral:rRNA from 1 species